rnacentral:rRNA from 1 species
AUGCAAGUCGAACGGUAACAGGAAGCAGCUUGCUGCUUYGCUGACGAGUGGCGGACGGGUGAGUAAUGUCUGGGAAACUGCCUGAUGGAGGGGGAUAACUACUGGAAACGGUAGCUAAUACCGCAUAACGUCGCAAGACCAAAGAGGGGGACCUUCGGGCCUCUUGCCAUCGGAUGUGCCCAGAUGGGAUUAGCUAGUAGGUGGGGUAACGGCUCACCUAGGCGACGAUCCCUAGCUGGUCUGAGAGGAUGACCAGCCACACUGGAACUGAGACACGGUCCAGACUCCUACGGGAGGCAGCAGUGGGGAAUAUUGCACAAUGGGCGCAAGCCUGAUGCAGCCAUGCCGCGUGUAUGAAGAAGGCCUUCGGGUUGUAAAGUACUUUCAGCGGGGAGGAAGGYGWURAGGUUAAUAACCUYRKCAAUUGACGUUACCCGCAGAAGAAGCACCGGCUAACUCCGUGCCAGCAGCCGCGGUAAUACGGAGGGUGCAAGCGUUAAUCGGAAUUACUGGGCGUAAAGCGCACGCAGGCGGUCUGUCAAGUCGGAUGUGAAAUCCCCGGGCUCAACCUGGGAACUGCAUUCGAAACUGGCAGGCUAGAGUCUUGUAGAGGGGGGUAGAAUUCCAGGUGUAGCGGUGAAAUGCGUAGAGAUCUGGAGGAAUACCGGUGGCGAAGGCGGCCCCCUGGACAAAGACUGACGCUCAGGUGCGAAAGCGUGSGGAGCAMA